AGGCUGGCAAUUGGGAUCAGCUGUGAAAGCAGCAUUUAAGGAUUUGCACAAGUGUUACCUGAUUGCUGGCUGCAACUUCUGUAUCCAUGUCUGGACCUUAGAACCCUGUCCCUUGUGACACUUGGAUUUCCUUUCUGAUGGUUCCCUUGGGUUCCGUUUCUGCCAUGAACCAAUUGGCUUGACCUUGGACUGUAAUACUCUCCUGUUGGUGUUUCCAGGUUGAGGCUCAUGACAGGGAGGAAGGCAAGUCCUAGCAGUUGCAGUAAGACACAUUGGAGCUGGAAGGCUUUCCUAAGGAGGAGGCAACUAACUAUAUGGAGUGACUGUUCUUCAGAUUGUUGCUGGGUACUUUACUUUAUCAAGACAGAAGUGAGGAAAGCUUGUCCUAUCAAUCAACCCCUACAGACCAGAAUGUGGCUUGAGGCUUUUUUUUUUUUUUGCAACCUUUGUGUUCGUAUGGAGUGCUGAGGAGUUUACUGCCAUCUACUG
rnacentral:lncRNA from 11 species